rnacentral:sRNA from 1 species
UCAGGCACCCGACAUUUCGUGUCUCUCCGUUGGAACAAGAGCCCGGGAAGUGCAAACUUCCCCAAACUGUCCUGCCAACAGGCCUUUCUGACCUAAAGGGGGGAUCACCUUUAUGGUGACAGGAUAAUUUGAUCUCUGUGCCAUCUAAUCCUUAUUUUCU